CAUCACUUAUGAUCAUCGUUCCACUCGUCGAGUUUCUGUCAAUCUUACCCUCGCUACCAUUUUAAUGUCUCACGCAAACUCCAAGCUAGUUGUCCCUUCAACGCAUCUCCUUUCAAUUUCCUGUCCCUUGGCAAGCCACUCCCUCCCUAGCUAUCGUCUUGCGGUCUCUAUUGCCCAUAGUGGAGCUCCAAGCCUUAGGUUUGUCUCCAUGUGUUGUGGGUUAGUCAACGCCCUCUACUCUAGGUCAUGGAGCCAUCUACUUUGAGGAUUAUAGUUUGAAUCGGGAUAAGUGACUGGAGACCGCUCGGAAGCUGUCCUCUGCUCGACACCCAACAGUCCAACUAUCCACCUACCACUAACGACUUUCGAUCAUCUGUCCCGACCCAAAUUAUAACUUAAGUAGGAAUGUAAACUUUGAAAGGGAUCGUAUUCAAUUGCGAUCAGCUAUGAUCCGAUCACAAUUACAAUGA